AGGCCUACGGGACGCAGCAGUGGGGGAUAUUGCACAAUGGGGGGAACCCUGAUGCAGCGACGCCGCGUGAGUGAAGAAGUAUUUCGGUAUGUAAAGCUCUAUCAGCAGGGAAGAAAAUGACAGUACCUGACUAAGAAGCCCCGGCUAACUACGUGCCAGCAGCCGCGGUAAUACGUAGGGGGCAAGCGUUAUCCGGAUUUACUGGGUGUAAAGGGAGCGUAGACGGCUGUGCAAGUCAGAAGUGAAAGCCCGGGGCUCAACCGCGGGACUGCUUUUGAAACUGUGUAGCUGGAGGGCAGGAGAGG
rnacentral:rRNA from 1 species